GACGAGACAGAGUACGAUUCAGGGCCGCCAGGUUUCUACGACAGGAGGAAGGAGAAAGGUCAAGAGAGGUUAUCAAACAGGUCACAAGAUCCACUCAGAGUUGACAGGGUCCUUUUGGAAAAGUCGUGGGAUCCACUGUGUGUCUCCUCUCUCCUUGGCUUCUCUCCUCUGAGCCUCCUCUAGCACAGACUUUUCUUGAGUGGCCUGCUGCUGGUCCUGAUCCAAAAUGGCACUGGUCACAUGCUGCCACAGUCUGCCAGAACAGUGACAUCAAAAGGACAUGAGGUUUUUGCAAGUCAGAUGUAAAAUACUCGAACUCCCCCUGCUGGUCCACUGGUACCACUUGUCUUUUGAGGCGCUGGCUGCGGAUUUCUGAACUGGGGUUCCACAGCGUCUCCUGCUGGC